AGCAGCAGCUCUAAAGAAAAAAGUUUCGAAUCCAAACAAAGCUGAAAGUCCAAUGAAGAAUAUAGGUUUUGAUUUUCAAUAUCGAUCAAGUGCCGAAUUGACGAAAAAUUUCAAAUUAAGAGAGAAAAUCUCGUAAGUUAUCACAAGGAUAAAGCUGUGAAAGAGUAGGCAUCACUUAGAUUUAAAAGAAAGAAUAGUAUGCCUAUAAUAACAUAAGGAAAAAGAAGAUAGAGGUUAACUCAAUCCGAUGAGUCAGUUCAAAAGUUAGGACUGAGUAAAUUGCUUAUAUACAAAUCAAUGAUUCAAUCGCCUUCCAAGGAAGAUCUGAACACUUCACAUAACAUUGCAAUAAGAGGACAAGUACACAGAGGUUAGCUCAAUUGGAGGAGCAAAUUCAAAAGCAAGAAAUGAAUAAAUUACAUGUGCACACAUCUAUGCUCCAGUCAUCUUCAAAGAAAGAUCUUAACACUUUAGGUAUGAGUGGAAGAAAACAAGGUGAAGGAGAGAAAUAACUUGAUAUUCAGGAGCAAAAAAACUGUAAAAAAGUAAAGACAAACUCGGUCCUACCAUCGACGAGUCUAAAUCAAUUUCUAAAAAAAUAUAGGAUACAUGUUGGUGGUGAAAAUUCUCCUAAUAUCCACCCAGUAGCUGAAGUUAGAUUUAUGUCAUCCCCUGUUGUUGAUGAGCAGGAAAUAGAAAUGGAUAAUUUUGAUGCACAAGUAGGAGUUGGUGACGACGAGUUUGUUAGAGAUGAGGAUGUAAACAUUGAUAGUGCUGCAGAUGGGAUAUCAGAGAAGAAAAGAGUUUGAGGGCAAAUGACAUGUAAGAAUAUUCAUGCAAGAAGGUUUGAAAAAAGAGAGGAGGUGGCAUUUGACAAAGAACAAGCAGUGGGACCAACUGACAAGAUAGUGUCUGAUUUGACCAACUUAAUAGGAACAAUUGCAAGAAAUUCAAGAUUUAUCACCUUGGUGCAUAGUAGUUGACAUGUUGUGUCACAAGAUAUUAAGCAACGAAUGUGAGAAUAUGUCAACUCCAAGUUCACAAUUCCAGCAGAAGGAGAGAAAUGGGUAAUGACCGACCUUCGUGAUGCUUGGAGGCGACACAAGAGAAAUAUUAAGAUGAAAUAUUUCAAUAAGAAUACUACUGAUGAAGGUAUGCUACAAAAUCGUCCAAAUGAGAUACCAGAAGUUCAAUUCGGCCAAUUGAUUGAGUAUUGGAAGGAUUCAGAUAUCCAAGUGAGACUAAAUUGUGCAUUUCUACACUUGAGCAUAUUGUUG